AAUUCCUUGGGCCCUUUGGAACAGUGCUAGUUCUGGCUCCAUGAAAAACAAAACAUCAUUACACCUCAGGGUGACAGGCUGGCUCCUGAAGCAAUGUGGAUCAGUGACCGGAGCUGGGAUGCAUCAGCGUACUGCUGCUCGGCUGUGUGGACGAAUACUGUAAUAACAACAGCAUCCGCCUUUGUGGACUUUUUCUGAAGGCGUUUAGUACACAUAAUUUCUCAUUAUGCUUGACAAGAAAAUGUACAACAAAACCUGUGCUAACAUUUUGAAAAUGUAAAAUGAGUCCAUGAAUUGCUAGAGGAAACCUGCUCCCAUGGAGACUUCAUAAUUACUUUGAAUAAAAAAAAUUGCAAAUACA